rnacentral:lncRNA from 1 species
ACUCAGGUGUCACAAUUGCUUUUAUUUUUAUCUCCAGUCAGUCACAGACCCCAGGAAGGUGAGGUCAGGGAAGGGAACAGGUGCGGACACUGGGGAACUUGCAGGAGCUGAGGCCAGUGGACAGCAGGAGUGUCAGGGGUGUGGCAGCCGGCCUGGGUCCCUGGAGCUGUGUCUGCCCUCAGGGACUCAGGAGAACGGCUCAGGGAGGGCUUGGGAGGGGGUACACUGUGUCCGAGAGAUGCAACCAUCGUUCGGCAAAAGAAAACAGCGGUGGCUGAUGAGAAGACAGGUCUGGGGAAGUCUGAGGAGAGCUCGGGCCAGAUCCUGCCCCCAACCUCCAGCCACAUGGGCCCUCGGUGACUCUCCCAAACCAGGCCCCGCGUUUCCUCAAGCAGCCACCGGAGGGCAGCAAAGUGCUUAUGCAAAAAUCCCACCCCGCCCAGGAGAGCAGCCAGGACACCUGGGACUUGGCUUCAGGUGGGCCAGGGAAGGAGGCAAGGAGCCUUUUGGAAAAUGGGUGUCUGUCCCAUCCUGACUCCCUCAGAAGGAAGAGUAGGGAAUGGAAGAACUAAGAUUCCGGGGCUUCCCCAGGUGAUACAGAAGGAGCCAUAGGUGUGCCCGGGAAUGAGUCCCAGACUCGUGUGUGCCUCCCUGGCCCCCAUCUGCAGCUUCCAGAAGAGGACUUCAGUGGGAGACCCCUCAACUCACAUUCCGGACAGUCAGAUUCCUGGCUGCCUCCAGCUUUACAAAAUCCAGCCCACCCCUUCCUGGGCCCAGCCCCACCCAGGCCAAAAAUGUGAAGGGCCUGCAGGCUCCCUUCCUCCUUUACAGCUUGUGACACCUGCUCAGCUGCGGUUUCCUUAAUCUUGCAUUCCUGUUCCCCUGCCCUUCCUCCUUCUGACGCCUCUCCUGGUGUUUCAGGAUUCCUCACUGCCUGGAUUGGAGAUGGAACGCAUAGACUUUGGCCCUGACCCUGCUGCCUACACUGUGGUACCUGCCACCCCCACUCAGGACCCAGAGUAGAAGGCUGCGGCAUCUUCUGCCCGGCUUCCCCAGCUCUGCAAAGAAGCCAUUUCUCAAAUGGCUGUGAUGCGUGUGUGACAUUGUUUAUUGCCGAGGACCUGUCCCUCCUCCCCCAAGCUUUUGGCACUCAGCCCUGAAUAAGCUUCUAAAUCCCCAGUUUCUGCAAUAACUUAUCCCAGGGAGAGGAGAACUUGGACAAGUAGAUUCUAGGAAGCAUGACCAAGGCUAUCUGACAGUGGCAGGAGAGUGGGGUGCUGGGGCUAACCCUCUGGAACUGAGGCCAGAGAUGAGGAGAGGAAACUGAGGGGCCCGGAGGAGAGGAGGUGGAGGAGGGUGGGAACCGGGUGAGAAAGUCAGUGGAGAGAAAUGUUCUGGUGCCUCUCCCGCCCUAUCCUGGCUAUGAACUUCCAUGUGGCAAAUGGAAAAACUGAAUUCCAGACAGCAAGAAACCCUCACCUAAUAGCAGGAGCCCGCUGGCAGUGAGGCUAGGAACCAGAAACCAGAAAUCUUGCCUCCCAGCUCUUGUCUGGAAGAUAGAAACCUCAGAGUGCAAAAUCUGGUGAGGGGUUUCAGGAAAGACGGGAGGCCGGGUGGCACUGAGGACAAGAAAUCCCCAGGACAUCAGGGCCUGACCACCCACCUCUCUGCGCUCUCAUGUGGUCUCAUUCCGGCCCCCACCCAGGCCCAGGGGCAAGCGUGAUACCCUGUUUGCGUGAGGCAGCUGUGGGUCUGAACCCCAGGCCCGCCACUCGCUAGCCGUAUGACCUGGGACUCAUUACCGAGCCUUUCUGAGCACCUCGGCUUUUCCCUCUGCUACGGACAUGAGCAGAGCGCUGUCUCUGGAGGAUCACUGCGAUGGAUUAAUUUAGACCAGCACACAGUGGGCAUCUCACCCGUGCCCCCAAUGCCUUUGCUGCACACACACCACCCGCCAGUUCUUGGCUCCUUUUCUCUUCAAAUAUCCAAGAUGGAACAAAACUUCAAAUGCUUCUGCAAUGUUUCUUGAAAGCUGGGAGUAGGAAGGGUGGGGAGGGAUGGGGCUGGGAAGGAACAGCACACCUCGUCUCCCUUCCCAAGGCAGACGGAGCUCCCAGCACAGGGGAGAGAGAAGAGGAGGAGGGCAAAGCCAAGGGAGGGUCCUGCUAGCCACUCAGAGCCUUCCUGUAUCCACACAGUAACUUUCCACUGGCCUGGAGUUGGCCACUGCACAUGCUGGCUGCACGCUCCCCCAGUGUGGCCUCCUGGUUCCCUCCCCACAGGCGCCCCUCUGGGGGUUGGAGGGCUGACGCACACCCUGCCUGAGAUCCCAGCCGCCUGGAAGCUGAUAAGGAGCCCUGGCCUCAUUACAUGGGACCAGCUGGAGGGACUGGCCCUGGCUGUUAGCAUCAGCUGGAUGGCUUCCAAAUUGGAGAGAUGCAGAGAUAAGUGGGGGAGCACUUAGGGACUCUGGGCUGAGUGAGUGGCCAGUGAAGCUAGAAGAGAUGUGGACUGUGCCAACUAUGAAGACCUCAGGAGGCCUGGCUGGGGACGAGCCAGCAAACAGCAGCUGACAGGAAGGGUUUAGGAAAUAAGAGGUGCAGAAGGGACUCCCACACAGCCUCGGGUUAGGGCUGAGGCAGAGCAGGGACUCCUUCCAGAUGGGGCUGGCCUGGCAGCUAGAGCGAUUGCCUCCUCCCCCAGAACAUCCAGCCGGAGGGCCCAAUCACACCUCACUCAGCCUUAGGCCUGUGGCAGCUGCCUGGCGGGUGCAGAAGUGAGUGAGAAGAUGUGGGUCUCGGUCAUUGCACCCCAAUGCCUCCCGGUGGACACGGGUCUGGGUGGAUUGGCUCCCCAGCUCCCACUUCCCUGGGAGCCCCAGGGCAGGCCCUUACCAAGGAGCGGGGCCCCCUGCCCUCACCUCCUGCCCCAAAAGAGCUCUGUCAUGACCCGGGAGGGCCAUUCACAGCAAGCAGCAGACAGCACAGGCUUCAGACCCUCUCCUAGUGCCCUUGGCCUCCAGGUCCAAAUCCCUAGAACAAGCCGCUGGUCCCAGAGCCAAGAGAAGAUGGGCAGACUGGGACAGCCAUCCUGCCCACCCACUCCACCUGCCCAGCUGUGUCCCCUACCCCCUUUCUUACAAAGUGUCAGUGCCUGACCUGGAUGAGAAAGACAGGAGGACACAGACUGGAUGCAGGACAGUGUGCCCCAAGGCCACAUGAUUGUGCAGCCCUAGGAGGAAUUGCAGUGGGGCUCAGGGCUCUGCUGGGCUUCCUGGGUCUCUCUCCUGCAUGUGAAAUCCUGCUAGGCUUCUCCUCCUUGUCCCUUGGACCCUCAAACCCAGAGGAGCCUUCAGCCUUGACCGUCCCAGUUUGGAAGAUGUAACGGGCGAAUGGGGCGGCACAGGGAUUGACGUGGCCUCAGCUCCUCAGGGUCCCCAUGGCGUAUGUACAAGCGGCAGAGGGCUGGGCUGGGCUGGGGUAGAGAGUGACCUGGCCACAGGCUGGGUUGGCAGCUAGUUUUAUAUCUGGUCUCGCAGGAGCGCAGGGGAGGGACAGGGAACCAGGAGGGGCGCAUUCUCUGGAGGACGGUGGGGCAGGGAGGGCUCCUCAUUCUCGGUUAGUGCCAAAAAGCUGCAGGAAGAAGGUGAAGAUAUAGAUGAUGUCUAGGUAAAUGUUGAGGGCUCCAAAAAUAUACUCCUCAGGGCUCAGCGAGUGGCGUCGGUUACCCAUCAGCAACUGGGUGUCAAGUGCCAGGAACUGGGAGAAGUGAGGAGAGAGAGAGAGAGGUCAGAGGCCCAGGCAGUGUGACACUGACUAUGGCAGCCCAGGUGUCCCCCUCAGCCCCACCCCCAAUUUUAUUACCCUCACCUGCUGCCUGACUGCCCAGUGGCCCUCCUGUGACACCUUCUGUCCCUAAUUCUAUUCAGCAGCUAUUUACUGAGCACCUGCUAUGUGCUAGGCACAGGGAUACAGCAGAGAACAAGACAGCCGGGAUCCCUGUCCUCACAGAGCUUAGAGUCUAGAGGAAGUAAUUGUUAGGAUGAUGAGUAUAACAAGGUUCCAGGCAGCAGUGGGGCUGAUAACAAGGAGCCUCACCUAUGUGAGUGUGGCAGGAAGUUAGGGAAGGCUUCCUGGGAGAGGGGACCUUCAAGCUGAGGCCUAGUCUUCUUGCCAUUCCCUCCGGACCCUGCUCUCAGAGGAAGGCAAACGCUUCAGGUACAAGCAGGGCCCGGGCACUUGUGCUGUACUGACAGCCCAUCAGUGCUACCGACAUCCCCAUCAAAUAAGAAUCCGAUUCUUCCUACAGGAAGUGAGGCCCAGAGACCUUAAAUAUUAGCUAAAGGUUACACAGCUAGAAAGUGGCAAAGCCAAGAUUUCAACCCGAGCAGGCCGGCUUCGGAGCCCCAGGUGUAAACAUUCUGCCCUGCUGCUAACAGCACCCGGGGUUAAUGCCUUUCCUCCCAGGAAACAGGCUCUUCCCUGGGGCCCUGCUUGGCCUAAUGGACUAGGAACAGAUUCCCUCUGAGACAGCACUGUGUCACCCCCCUGCCCCUGCCAGGCCUGCCCACUGUAUACAGUGGCUCCUACCCUUUGCCAUGUAGCUUUCCUCUGAGCUCCAAGCCUAAAGAGCAGAACCCUUAAGUAGCAUAUGAAAUUUGACAGGCGUGGUGCGCUUUUCUGGAGAAAGAGGCCAAAAAGUCCACCAGUAUCUCAAAGGUGAUGAAGCACUGAUCCACGUGGGACUGGAAUUUUUUUUCUUUUCUUUUCUUUUCUUUUUUUUUUUUUUUUUUUUGAGACAGAGUUUCGCUCUUGUUGCCCAGGUUGGAGUGCAAUGGCGUGAUCUCAGCUCACUGCAACCUCCACCUCCCAGGCUCAAGCGAUUCUCCUGCCUCAGCCUCCCGAGGAGCUAGGAUUACAGGCAUGUGCCACCACACCCGGCUAAUUUUGUAUUUUUAGCAGAGACGGGUUUUCUCCAUGUUGGUCAGGCUGGUCCUGAACUCCCAACCUCAGGUGAUCUGCCCGCCUCGGCCUCUCAAAGUGCUGGGGUUACAGGCGUGAGCCACCAGGCCCAGCCCGGGAUUAGAAUUCUUUUACAUUGAUUCACAUUCUUGUUAACUGGGCUCUUCAGUCACUUGUGUAUGAAAGGCAUGUUCCCUGGGUCCUCUGAAACUCAUUCAUUAUACAAUAAAUAUGUAUGGGGCAACAGCUGCAUGACAGGGACUUGCUAAGAGCAAAAGAGACGAGAAACACAAAGCCGUGCCUGCCUUGGGGAAGCUCACAGCGUCAUGGGGGACACUUACAGGUCAUUACAAGAAAACCCAGGAAAUGCACAAUUAGGACUAUGAAGGAAGGAGCUACUAAUUGGGCCAGAGGAAGGUGACCCAGGAGAGGUGGCAUUUCACCUGAGGCUUAAGUAGGAGUUUGCUAGCUGGGAAGGCCUAGGGAAGCCUGGGAGGCCUG